UUGGCUGCUAAGAAGACUAAGUGCAGUGCUGUGUCUGAGAUCCCGGUGCUGAAGACAAAUGCCGGACCCCGAGAUCGGGAGUUAUGGGUGCAGCGACUGAAGGAGGAAUAUCAGUCCCUUAUCCGGUAUGUGGAGAAUAACAAGAAUGCUGACAACGACUGGUUCUGACUGGAGUCCAACAAGGAAGGGACUCGGUGGUUUGGAAAAUGCUGGUAUAUCCAUGACCUCCUGAAAUACGAGUUUGACAUCGAGUUUGACAUUCCUAUCACAUACCCUACUACUGCCCCAGAAAUUGCAGUCCCUGAGCUUGAUGGAAAGACAGCAAAGAUGUACAGGGGUGGAAAAACAUGCCUGACGGAUCACUUCAAACCUUUGUGGGCCAGGAACGUGCCCAAAUUUGGACUAGCUCAUCUCAUGGCUCUGGGGCUGGGUCCAUGGCUGGCAGUGGAAAUCCCUGAUCUGAUUCAGAAGGGCGUCAUCCAACACAAAGAGAAAUGCAACUAAUGAAGGAUCAAGCCACUGAGGCAGGGCAGAGGGACCUUUGAUAGGCUAUGAUCCUGUUUUCCUAUGCAUCACACUUAACUCACCUAACUGCUUCCCCCAACACCCUCCACCUCUAGUUGUUACUAAGUAGCUGCAGCAGGCAUUG